rnacentral:piRNA from 1 species
UGACAUGACGUGGUCGUGGCAGUGUGCUGU